rnacentral:rRNA from 1 species
AUUAACGCUGGCGGUGUGUCUAAUACAUGCAAGUCGAGCGGUCCGUAGCAAUACGGACAGCGGCGGACGGGUGAGUAACACGUUGGUAUCUGUCUUGUACUCAGGGAUAACUCCGAGAAAUCGGAGCUAAUACCGGAUGGUCCCGUGAGGGUAAAGAUUUAUCGGUACAAGAGGAGCCUGCGGCCUAUCAGCUAGUUGGUGAGGUAAUGGCUCACCAAGGCUAUGACGGGUAGCUGGUCUGAGAGGAUGAUCAGCCACAAUGGAACUGAGAUACGGUCCAUACUCCUACGGGAGGCAGCAGUAAGGAAUCUUUCGCAAUGGGGGAAACCCUGACGAAGCAACACCGCGUGAUUGAUGAAGUACUUUUGUACGUAAAGAUCUUUUCUGGGGGAAGAAUUAUGACGGUACCCUAGGAAUAAGCACCGGCUAACUCCGU